GAUGAACGCUGGCGGCGUGCCUAAUACAUGCAAGUCGAGCGAACAGACGAGGAGCUUGCUCCCCUGACGUUAGCGGCGGACGGGUGAUUAACACGUGGAUAACCUACCUAUAAGACUGGGAUAACUUCGGGAAACCGGAGCUAAUACCGGAUAAUAUAUUGAACCGCAUGGUUCAAUAGUGAAAGACGGUUUUGCUGUGACUUAUAGAUGGAUCCGCGCCGCAUUAGCUAGUUGGUAAGGUAACGGCUUACCAAGGCUACGAUGCGUAGCCGACCUGAGAGGGUGAUCAGCCACACUGGAACUGAGACACGGCCCAGACUCCUACGGGAGGCAGCAGUAGGGAAUCUUCCGCAAUGGGGGAAAGCUUGACGGAGCAACGCCGCGUGAGUGAUGAAGGUCUUCGGAUCGUAAAACUCUGUUAUUAGGGAAGAACAAAUGUGUAAGUAACUAUGCACGUCUUGACGGUACCUAAACAGAAAGCCACGGCUAACUACGUG
rnacentral:rRNA from 1 species